rnacentral:rRNA from 1 species
AGAGUUUGAUCAUGGCUCAGAUUGAAGGCUAAGCGGCAGGCCUAACACAUGCAAGUCGAACGGUAACAGGAAGCAGCUUGCUGCUUUGCUGACGAGUGGCGGACGGGUGAGUAAUGUCUGGGAAACUGCCUGAUGGAGGGGGAUAACUACUGGAAACGGUAGCUAAUACCGCAUAACGUCGCAAGACCAAAGAGGGGGACCUUAGGGCCUCUUGCCAUCGGAUGUGCCCAGAUGGGAUUAGCUAGUAGGUGGGGUAACGGCUCACCUAGGCGACGAUCCCUAGCUGGUCUGAGAGGAUGACCAGCCACACUGGAACUGAGACACGGUCCAGACUCCUACGGGAGGCAGCAGUGGGGAAUAUUGCACAAUGGGCGCAAGCCUGAUGCAGCCAUGCCGCGUGUAUGAAGAAGGCCUUCGGGUUGUAAAGUACUUUCAGCGGGGAGGAAGGGAGUAAAGUUAAUACCUUUGCUCAUUGACGUUACCCGCAGAAGAAGCACCGGCUAACUCCGUGCCAGCAGCCUCGGUAAUACGGAGGGUGCAAGCGUUAAUCGGAAUUACUGGGCGUAAAGCGCACGCAGGCGGUUUGUUAAGUCAGAUGUGAAAUCCCCGGGCUCAACCUGGGAACUGCAUCUGAUACUGGCAAGCUUGAGUCUCGUAGAGGGGGGGUAGAAUUCCAGGUGUAGCGGUGAAAUGCGUAGAGAUCUGGAGGAAUACCGGUGGCGAAGGCGGCCCCCUGGACGAAGACUGACUCUCAGGUGCGAAAGCGUGCGGAGCCAACAGGAUUAGAUACCCUGGUAGUC